rnacentral:misc_RNA from 1 species
AGCUGUUCAGAACAGACGGAAUAGUUUUGGGAAUUUAGAAAUAUUUGUACUUGUAGAUUAUAACGUUUACCUGCAAAAGAAGGACUCCAAUGAAAAGAAAAUUUUAUGUUACAUAGAAGAAGAUAAGCUCCCCGGUGGUAUAGUGGUUGCAGGAGAAAGCUGCUGACUAACAUCAGAAAAAGAUAGUUGGAGUUUCUAGGACACAUUAUGAGGAAAGAAGAAAUUGGCAGUCUGAUCAUAACUGGAAAGAUUGAAGGAAGGAGAGACUGCGGAAGACAGAGGUUGACAUAAUUGUGUCAAGCAUCUAUCCAAAUGGAUGAAUGUAUUAUCACUGGAAAUUCUUUGUGCCUCAAGGAGAAGAGAUCUGUGAAUGAACAUCCUGUUCAGAUAUGGUACAUAGAGGGAAGGAGUUGUGGUCUAGGUGCUAUAUAUCAUCAGUUUUUGUGAACAACAACUUUUAUGGUGUGAACCAGAUUAAGCAAGUGAAUUCUGAUUAUUAUUUUUAUUUAAGUCAUUUAGAAAUCAAAUUUUUAGGUUAAGAAUUAAGAACACAACAUUGUUUGUUAUAUUUUAUUUGUCAGAACUAGUGGAAUUUUUGUAUUUUGUCUAAGGACUCAUGUAAUGUUUAAGUCUAAAACUAACAUGCUAAUUUUACUGGAUCUGUGUACUUAUACACGUAUAAUGGCUAUUUCAGUCUCAAAAUUAAUGUAUUAAUUUGAAAUUUUGUUGAGUAUCUGUAUUUUUUAAUAUUUGUGUGAUCAAAUCUCAAACUUGUACAGUGGUUUUGUAGAUUUCCAGUACUUGUAUAAGUAUUAGUUUAAUCUCAGAACUAGUGUAAUAGCUUUUCUGAGUGUCAUUAUUGUGUAUUGAUUUCUAUUACAUUAUUGUAAUAAUUUUGAAGAGUUUCAAUACUUGCAUAAUAAGCAGUUGAAUCUUUUAACUAGUUAAUUGUUUUUGUUGGUCUAAGUGCUUUAAUAUUUGUUUCAUACCUGGGGUAAAAUUUUUGUAAUAGUUUGGUUGGAUCUCAGUACAUUUGUAACAUUUGGAUGCCUUGUAUGUAGUUUGGGUGAGUCACAGAAAUUAUGUUAUAUUUUUUGAUAGGUCUCAAAAAUUUGAUAAAGUUUCAUUGACUCAGAACUAGAGCAUUGAUUUUGUUUCUUUUUAGUAUUUGCUUAAUGUGUGGUUGACUCUCAGAGCUUGGUAAUAGUUUUAGAGGGCUUCAGUACUUUUCAUUGUUCACCUGAGUCUCUGGUCUAGUGUAUUGGUUUUGAUAGGCCACUGUACUUGUGUAAAGUUUGGUUGAUUGUCAGAUUUAGUGUAUUAAUCAUUCUGUUAGUGUCUACUUGUUGAAUGUUUAGUUGUAGAAAUAUUGUAAUAGAGUUUCUGAGUCUCAGCUUUUGUGUAAUGUUUUGUUGUGUCUCAGAUCUCAUGCACUAAUUUUACCAGAUCUUAGUUGUUCAUUAAUAUUUUUUGGGUCUCUAUUGUAGUAUAUAUAUAUAUAUAUAUAUAUAUAGAUGAGUCACAAAGUAGUAUAAUGAUUUUGUAUGAUUUCCAUACGUGAUUAGUUUUGUUGACAUUCAGAACUAUUGUACAGGUUUUGCCAGUUCUUAGUAUUGUAAAAUCUUUGGUUGAAUCUUAAAGCCAGUAUAAAUGUUUUUCUAGGUCUCAGUAUUGGUGUAAUAAUUGGUUGAGUUUAUACAAUGUUUUGGGAUUACUUAAUUUCAUGACUUAUGUAAUGUUUUAUUUGAGUAUCAAAGCUAGUUCAAUGGUUUUGCUGUAUUCCAAUACUUGUUGUAAUAUUUGGUUUAAUUUCAGAACUAGUGUAAUGAUUUUGCACUUUUAUAAUGUUUAAGUCUUCAAGCCAGUGUAACUGUUUUUAAAGGUCUGACUACCUGAAUAAUGUUUGGUAAAGUUUCAGAAUUAAUGUAAUAGUUUUUCUAGGCCUUAGUAUUGUGUUAUUAUGUUUGAUUUUAUCUCAAAAUUAUUAUAAUGAUUUUGCUUAGUCUUAGUACUGGUGUAAUGUUUUUUUGAGCCUCAGAAAUAGUUUAAUGCAGAGUUUCUCAAAUUUGGGUCCAUGAGAGAAUUCCAGGAGUCCACAAUUCAUGUCUAAAAUUUCAUAAAAAUAAUUUAAAAAAUAAGAUUUAUAGAAUAAAAAAUAUUUUUCAUAAAAUUGAAUUUAU